ACCCUAAUCCCCAUUAUCUCAUCUGGCGUCGCCCCGAUCCAAUCUUGCGCCGUCUCCUUCCUUUCACCGUCUCGAUCCAAUCUGCUAGCAUCCCCCCUCCGCCGCUCCUCUCCAGCAGCCCCCACGCUCCCACUCCCGCCCCGUCCACCUCCGCCGCCCCCACCAUCGAUGCAACAACCACCGCCACCGCCACCAUCGAGACCGCGGAGGAAGCCGUUGCAGCACCGGUGGUGGAAGAGGCGCCGCCGACGCCGCAGGCAGCCGCGCUCGGUAGGAGCAGCCUCUGCACGGGACAAUUCUCCACAUGAUCUGGUGACGCAAGCCGUCGACCCACCGGAAGUACUCCGUGUCGUGCGGCUGCUCUUCUGGACGCUCUCGGCGCUGCUCGUCCAUGGCGUGAUCUCCGCUACCGCUGCCUCCAACCACGCUGACCUCUUGCUCCAGUUCUUCCACUUGGCUUACAGCUGGGCGGGUUCUGGGCUUCUGGCCGGAGCCAGCCACCGUGGCGCUCCUCUACCACGCCCGCUGCAUCCUCCUCGAGACCAUGCCGCCCUUCUCUGUUUCCCUGACGAGGCCCUGUCGCAGGCAUUUUGCAGCGCUGCUCCCAUCCAGAUGCUUUGUUGUGGCGCUCCUCCUGUCAUUCUCUCCAUUUAAAUGUUUGAGCGAGAAAUCAAUGGCGCUUUCUGGCUGUGCGGGAGUGGACAUGUUCAGCGUGUGUGGGAUUUCUCAAGUUCAAAGCUGACAUCGUCGAUGAGAAGACUGAACCCAAGGCUGAAGGUGGAGGAGGGCGUGGACGGGAUUUGGUCCCAGCAUUGCACUCAGAGAUGCUCUAAUAUUUAAGGAGUCCUUGUUUCUUAUAUUAUAUUUUAUCACAUUGCCAUCGAAUUAAAUUGCUUGAUUGAGUAAAUAGCUUCAUAAUGUACUAGUAAAUCUUUGCUACCAUUAUUGGCAAGUUUUUGUAAGUAAUCUUUCUAGUCAAGCACUUGUAUCAUCUAUAGUAAUCUUAAGUUUUGCCAUUUUUCUCUUCUGAAUUUUCUCAUCUUGUUUUCAUAGGCUUGCUGGCUGCGUCUUCUAUGCUACUUAGUACACUCGUUAGACCCCAAAGCGAUGAAAUCUUCAUUUUUUGUUAAUACAAUAUUACGUGAAAUGCUUAUAAAUAGUGCUGCUUAUUUAAAGUACUACGUUACAGAAUCUGUUUUGUUAAUUUUUACCAUCAAUGCAAAGACAAACAUGUAUUUGCGUGCUAAUUUUGCUACUUUAUUACAUUCAUGUUUGUUUUAGGAAAGUACAUAUGCGCAUGAAAAAUUGUUGCAUUGUCUAAGGUCCAAUUCCAAACUAGUUGAAGUGGAAUUCAUUUAGUUAGUUUUAUGACACAUGCUAGUAAGUACUCCCUCCGUUCCUAAAUAUAAGUCUUUUUAGACAUUUCAAAUAAACUACAACAUACGGAUGUAUGUAGACAUAUUUUAGAGUGUAGAUUCAUUCAUUUUGGUCCGUAUGUAGUCACCUGUUGAAAUCUCUAGAAAGACUUAUAUUUGGGAACGGAGGGAGUAUUUUGCAAUUCAUUUAGUUCCACUCUUUUUCAUCUUGCACGUUCAGGUACUACAAUCAUGCCACUAGUUUGGGAGAGUGAGAGGGAAAGGAGGGCAUUCCUCGCGGAACAUAAACGCAUGGGUGAUGUGUAUGCUAAGCUAAGGGGUGCAUUGAUUACAUGCAUCGGGAGGAGUUAGCCGCAAGACUUGAAGCACAAGAGAGAGCAUUUGAAGAGAUACAAAAGAAGCAGCAAGAAGAAUUGGAAGCUCUAAAGAAGAUCCAACAAGAGAAGAAUGAAGCCUAGGCAAAGAAGCAAAAGGAGAUGGAUAAUCUGCUUGAUUUUCUCUUGAGGGCUCAAGCAACUUAGCAAGCAACUCUGUAGUCCCAGUCCAAACCAGAUGGUUCAUGAAAGCCAUCCUUACAUUGCAAUCAUCAGGACAACAUAUGUGGUCUUUAGUUAAUAUUAGUUUUCAUCUUGUCUAUUGUCUAUGUCAAACUUGAGUCAGUUUUUUACCGUCAUUUUUGUUUACAGAAUGAUUUGGCUGAUACGAUCUCAUAUAUAAUAUGAUUUGUCUUACAUAUCAA